rnacentral:rRNA from 1 species
AAAAUUUCAUAUGGUUCCUUAGAUCGUUUCUUCCUACUUGGAUAACUGUGGCAAUUCUAGAGCUAAUACAUGCAGUGAGCCUGAAGCCCUUUGGGCGACGGGUGCUUUUAUUAGACCAAGAUCGAUCGGGUUUCGGCCCGUAUUGUGUGGUGACUCUGGAUAACUUUGUGCUGAUCGCAUGGCCACGAGCCGGCGACGUUUCUUUCAAGUGUCUGCCUUAUCAACUUUCGAUGGUAGGUUACUUGCUUACCAUGGUUGUUACGGGUAACGGAGAAUCAGGGUUCGAUUCCGGAGAGGGAGCCUGAGAAACGGCUACCACAUCCAAGGAAGGCAGCAGGCGCGCAAAUUACCCACUCCCGGCACGGGGAGGUAGUGACGAAAAAUAACAAUACGGGACUCUUUUGAGGCCCCGUAAUUGAAAUGAGUACACUCUAAAUCCUUUAACGAGGAUCAAUUGGAGGGCAAGUCUGGUGCCAGCAGCCGCGGUAAUUCCAGCUCCAAUAGCGUAUACUAAAGCUGCUGCGGUUAAAAAGCUCGUAGUUGGAUCUCAGUUCCAGACGAGUAGUGCAUCUACCCGAUGCGACGGCUCGGACUGAACAUCAUGCCGGUCCUUUCUUGGUGCACUUCAUUGUGUGCCUCGAGAAGGCCGGUGCUUUUACUUUGAAAAAAUUAGAGUGCUCAACGCAGGCGAGUCGCCUGAAUAAACUUGCAUGGAAUAAUAGAACAAGACCUCGUUUCUGUUCUGUUGGUUUUUGGAAUACGAGGUAAUGAUUAAGAGGGACAGACGGGGGCAUUC